rnacentral:lncRNA from 1 species
GCCUAAUCCCCUGGAACCUCUUUCUACACUACGACAGGAAAAUUUAUUAUGCAGGCUGGGUAUUAUUAAUAACUGUGCUAUUCUAUCUCCUGGUGAAAUUACUGAUAUACCUCUUGGAGAACUAGCUAUAAUUUUUAUUUCACCUACAUAAUCGGGAUCAAUUACCCCAGGACUUAUCAUAAGUCCUUUUAGUGUAGAAGAACUGCGUCCCAAUAAUAAGCCUACUGUUCCUUGGGGAAGAGGUCCUUUUACUCCUGUGGGAAUGAUUUGAACUCCCAUCUCUGGAGUUAGUACUGCUCUGGCAGAGGCGCAGAUGUCCAACCCUGCGCUCCCUCUGGUUUGUCUGAUGAGGGAUUUAAUGGACAAUGUGUCCUGGGCACUACCCUGAUGGUGUUGCUGGGUUCCUCCACUGCCCCGUAUAUUUGUGGUUGUGGGCCCCGGAGCAUUGGGCCCCCCAGUCCGUUUUUUGGCAAUGGAGCCUGAUGCCUUUCUCCACGAUAUCGUGGGUAAAUACCUGGUCCUUGUCCGUUUUUUGAUAAGGGAGUACCCUCUAUGGUGGUUUGAGAACGGCAUUCAUUAGCCCAAUGUCUCCCUCUACGGCAUCGUGGGCAAAUACCCGGUAUUCUAUUCCUUUGAUACCUAGUUUUGUUAAACCCUU